rnacentral:snoRNA from 1 species
GUGGGAUGAAGAACAGACACCGAUCUGUUGCCUUCCUAGUGAGCCUCCGGGCGCUGAUGCUAUACACACAGGAUUUCUGACCAC